UACGUAGGGGGCGAGCGUUGUCCGGAAUGACUGGGCGUAAAGGGAGCGUAGACGGGAAAGCAAGUUAGUUGUGAAAUCCCUCGGCUUAACUGAGGAACUGCAACUAAAACUACUUUUCUUGAGUGCAGGAGAGGUAAGUGGAAUUCCUAGUGUAGCGGUGAAAUGCGUAGAUAUUAGGAGGAACACCAGUGGCGAAGGCGACUUACUGGACUGUAACUGACGUUGAGGCACGAAAGUGUGGGGAGCAAACAGG
rnacentral:rRNA from 1 species